UGCCCUAGCGCCGACAGUCGAGUUCGUCUGUGCCCUAGAACCGAUCUGCCCAUCUCCGGCUACUCAGGAGCAGGUAGUGCCGAGUUCUUCCUCUGUUCCAGCCGGAAGAAAAGGGUCGAUUGGGGGGUAUAUUGUUUUGGAAAUCCACAGGUCCAACCUCGCUCCAGUCAGGGCUAUUGUUGUGGAUCACCGGCAGACCAUCCGGAUUUGGGUUGAUGAUGUCAGGAGACAGUUCCAGUCGCUAGUCCCCAUUGCAC